UACAGAGGGUGCAAGCGUUGAUCGGAAUUACUGGGCGUAAAGCGUGCGUAGGCGGUUACAUAAGUCGGGUGUGAAAGCCCCGGGCUCAACCUGGGAAUUGCAUUCGAGACUGCGUAGCUAGGGUGCGGAAGAGGGAAGCGGAAUUUCCGGUGUAGCGGUGAAAUGCGUAGAUAUCGGGAGGAACACCAGUGGCGAAAGCGGCUUCCUGGUCCAGCACCGACGCUCAGGCGCGAAAGCGUGGGGAGCAAACAGG
rnacentral:rRNA from 1 species